rnacentral:rRNA from 1 species
UACGGAGGGUGCAAGCGUUAUCCGGAUUCACUGGGUUUAAAGGGUGCGUAGGAGGGCAGGGAAGUCAGUGGUGAAAUCUCCGGGCUUAACUCGGAAACUGCCGUUGAUACUCUCUGUCUUGAAUCCCGUGGAGGUGAGCGGAAUAUGUCAUGUAGCGGUGAAAUGCUUAGAUAUGACAUAGAACACCGAUUGCGAAGGCAGCUCGCUACACGGGUAUUGACUCUGAGGCACGAAAGCGUGGGGAUCAAAC